rnacentral:rRNA from 1 species
CAGUCGCCGCGGUAAAACGUAGGGUGCAAACGUUAAUCGGAAUUACUGGGCGUAAAGCGUGCGCAGGCGGUGUUGUAAGACAGAUGUGAAAUCCCCGGGCUUAACCUGGGAACUGCAUUUGUGACUGGCGAGCUGGAGUAUGGCAGAGGGGGGUAGAAUUCCACGUGUAGCAGUGAAAUGCAUAGAGAUCGGGAGGAACAUCAGUGGCGAAGGCGGCCAUCUGGGACAACACUGACGCUGAGGCACGAAAGCGUGGGGAGCAAACAGGAUUAGAUACCCCAGUAGUCCCUGUCUCUUAUAA